ACGUGAUAGAGUAUUUUUCUGAUGUCUUGUGAGCCUACCAUCAACUAUAAAAUGCUUUAAUUCAGCGGCAAAAUUCGUCUCGGCUCAGUUUCUCUUAGAGACUGUUCCGUGUACCACACGACAGCAGCAAUUCCAGCGACAACAUCAACAGCUUCGCCAUCAGCAACACGAGUCUACGACUACUACCAAGCUUCGUCUUCGCCACCAUAGUCAACACGACUUUAACUACGAACGACAAUAUUCGCCAAUAUCAUCAACAUGAUUUCUAUGUACACCAAUCCAAACCACCGCGGCACAUCUCUCUCUCUUCGAUUCUGUUUGGUGACUCAGCUUCACCACGAUAAAUAAACAGACAAGAGUUUCAGCCAGCGACGAACAUCUGUAUAACAAGAGUCCGGCCCGGCAUCGAAGCCACAACAUCACAACUAGUGAUCGCACUGGCACACAUACGCCUCAACUUCUUUCACAUACAGACUCUUCCUAUUGUGUACUCAAGAACUGAUAUUGUAUGGUAAUUAAAAUGCAAUCAAAUAGCCGAGCUUGUGCAAAUCACAGACAACUUCUGCUAUAUCUGUGGACAUUAUGCACCUAAGAGACAACGUAGAAACAUAACAGCAAAGAUUAAACUUGCCUACAAGUAUUAUUUUGACUAAGUUAAGCAAGCAAGAGAGGGACUGGACACCACAUACUUGAGGUGCACAGUGCAAUGCAAUGUUAAUAGCUUGGAUGAAUGGUAAAAGAAAAGCUUCGCCAUUCUCAGUCCCCAUAGUUUAGAUGAACCGGGAAAAAAAUCACUUCAAUGUUUGUUAUUUUUGUUUGACAAAGAUUGCUGGUUUUACAUAGAAAAACAAAUUUAAAAAAUCAUGUACCUAAACUACGAGGCGGCAAUAAAACUAGUACCACACGAUGAAACAAGUCUCCGACUGUACGAAGGUGAGAUGGAGAGAAUAU